UGAAGUUGUCUGCUUCUGUAUGGGAUGACUGUCCUCCUGAUGACAGCAGCGGCUCAGGGGCAGAGGGGAGGUGUGAGAACCAGGAGAUGGCUGUGGAAGCCCCAGUGCUGCGAUGGCAGGGUCCCUGCUGUGCUGUAAGAGAGACCAGAGACUAUUUACCAUGACGUCUCUUUUCUCUAUUCCCAAUCAUAAAUUGGAGCCCGUGUCAGAAACUCAGAGCCUCUCACAUCUUAUGUUUGUGUGGGAGUGGAGUCUGCUUGCCAGGUAAUUGAAGGUACAAUUCAAAAUGGCUAAGAUGACGGAGAAAUUCAACAUAUAUAACAAGAUUUUCCAAGGUAGGACAGUUCUGGAUUUGGUUACUUCAGAGGCUCACUGAUGACACCAAGCAUGUGGGCCACUGCUUCCAUCCUUCUCCUCAGCCAUCUUCAGCAUCUCAAUUGUUCCAUCUCUGUCCUAAGAAAGCUGCAGGAUCAGCAGACAUCAUAUCAUGAUGGAAGCAGAAAAGGGAACCAUCUUUUCCCAUGUCUCUUAAAGAGCUGAGAACUUUGUCCUUAUGCCCCACCCUCCCAGGAGAUACUCUCUCAUCCCAUUUGUGAGAAGAGGAUCACAUGCGUUAUCACUGAAACAGUCACUCUAGGAGGAAUGGAAACCUCUGUGCUGGGCUUAAAUCAGUCAGGAUUUAUGUGAUCACUUGAGGAGAAGGGGAUACCUGAACAACACAGAGGUAUGGGGAGGGGAACUCCUGGUUACCAACCCACUGUGUCUGCUACAAAGUUCUACAGCCAAUAUGACACCCUGAAACUUAA